UACGGAGGGAGCUAGCGUUGUUCGGAAUUACUGGGCGUAAAGCGCACGUAGGCGGCUAUUCAAGUCGGGGGUGAAAGCCCGGGGCUCAACCCCGGAACUGCCCUCGAAACUAGAUAGCUAGAAUCUUGGAGAGGCGAGUGGAAUUCCGAGUGUAGAGGUGAAAUUCGUAGAUAUUCGGAAGAACACCAGUGGCGAAGGCGACUCACUGGACACGUAUUGACGCUGAGGUGCGAAAGCGUGGGGAGCAAACAGG
rnacentral:rRNA from 1 species